rnacentral:rRNA from 1 species
AACGAACGCUGGCGGCAUGCCUAACACAUGCAAGUCGAACGAGACCUUCGGGUCUAGUGGCGCACGGGUGCGUAACGCGUGGGAACCUGCCCUUAGGUUCGGAAUAACUCCCCGAAAGGGGUGCUAAUACCGGAUAAUGUCUUCGGACCAAAGAUUUAUCGCCUUUGGAUGGGCCCGCGUUGGAUUAGCUAGUUGGUAGGGUAAAAGCCUACCAAGGCGACGAUCCAUAGCUGGUCUGAGAGGAUGAUCAGCCACACUGGGACUGAGGCAUGGCCCAGACUCCUACGGGAGGCAGCAGUGGGGAAUAUUGGACAAUGGGCGAAAGCCUGAUCCAGCAAUGCCGCGUGAGUGAUGAAGGCCUUAGGGUUGUAAAGCUCUUUUACCCGGGAUGAUAAUGACAGUACCGGGAGAAUAAGCUCCGGCUAACUCCGUG